UUCUAGGGUGAGAGGUUCCGGUUCCCGGUUCCAAUUUUUUAGGAACCGGCUCUCUCUCUUACUAAAAAGUAAAAACCCUAACUUCCUUAGUUUAUUCCCAAAUUUCCCCACGCUCGGUCACUCCUCCAUUGCGCUCUCUCUCCCACUCCCAACACCCACGACUCGACGAGACCAUCUUGCCUCUCCUCGCUCCAUUCGGUGUCCGCCUCGGCUCUUCCUCUAUCUUCAUCAACUGCGGUCCGGCUCGUUCGCGGUCUCUGCUUUUUCUAGGGUUUCCGAUUCUGGCUAGAGGGCGCAAGAAGGGAGCGAGCAAGGACAAGAGUAAGCGUCAGUUGAGUUUGGGCGAUCUCGUUCUUGCCAAAGUCAAGGGCCACCCUGCUUGGCCUACCAAGAUUAGCAGGCCAGAGGAUUGGCACCAAACUCCAGACCCGAAAAAGCACUUUGUGCAUUUCUUUGGAACACGAGAUGUAAGCUCACGAUCUGCUUGUACCACUUGUUUAUUUAUGUAUGAGUAGCUAGCUUAAUGGCUUUAUUGAGUUUUGUGUAUAGUUUCAUUCCUUUCAUGCAGUAACUACAGUAUCGUGUUCAUGAGCGGCUCUGUCUUUGUUUUUUUUGGUAAACCUUAAGGUUAUUAGACAGGCCCAGUUCAUCCACAAGAAGAAAAAGAAAAGGAAAAAUCCUGUUAGUUUGUCUUCAACAUUUAGUCAAAAGGUUCAGCCCGAGCUUCAAGACUGGCUUGAAGCCAGCCUUAGUUUCAUCUUUGUGCUAUUUCUUCUAUGUAGCACACAUGCUUUCCAAUUUUUAAGUGAUCAGCACUCCCUUGCA